CCCGCCGGGGCUCCCCGAGCACGCUCACGGUCGGUCCGCCUCGCGGGGCGCCGGCCACAUCCGGGGCUCGGGGGCCCGCGCGGUUGCCAUGGCAGCGGGGUCGCGGCAGGCGCGCUGGCAGGCCCCGAGGCUGCUGGCAGCCAGGCGGUCGGCGGAGCCCCAGAACCGGACGGCCGUACCCGCAGCGCCUAGGGGCGAUCGGGCAGCGCCGCCGCCAUGUCCCUGAGCACCGGGGAGCCGGCCUCGGAGACGGGGGAUGACAGCCUGUCUGCAAUAACCUUCGACUCUGACUCCGAGACGAAAGCAAAAAGGAAAAGUUUCCACAAACCUCCCCCUACAUCACCGAAGUCGCCUUAUCAGUCUAAGCCGAGAAAAGUGGCCUCCUGGAGAUCUCUGAGGACAGCGGGGACCGUGCCUCUCGGGAGCCGAAUGUCCUUCACGCCCCAGAAGCUGUGGCUGGGAAGCUCAAAGCAAGGUUAUGUUCCUGGGACCCCUGUCUACAGAGAGAAGGAGGACAUGUAUGACGAGAUCAUUGAGCUGAAGAAGUCACUACACAUGCAAAAAAGCAAUGUGGAUCUGAUGAGAACAAAGCUUCGGCGCUUAGAAGAGGAGAACAGCAGGAAGGACCGGCAGAUAGAGCAGCUUUUGGAUCCGUCCCGAGGCCCGGAUUUUGUUCGGACGCUGGCAGAGAAAAGGCCUGAUACUGGCUGGGUGGUCAGUGGGCUAAAGCAGAGGAUCCUCAAGCUCGAGCAGCGGUGCAAGGAGAAGGACCACACUAUCGACAAACUGCAGACUGAUAUGAAGACCACUAACUUGGAGGAGAUGAGGAUCGCCAUGGAGACGUAUUACGAGGAGAUUCAUCGGCUCCAGACUCUCCUGGCAAGUUCUGAAACGACAGGAAAGAAGCCUCCAGCGGAGAAGAAAAUCGGCCUUAAAAGGCAGAAAAAAAUGAGCAGCGCCCUCCUGAGCUUGUCCCGGAGCGUCCAGGAGCUCACGGAGGAGAACCAGAGCCUGAAGGAAGACCUGGACCGCGUGCUGAGCAGCUCCCCCACUGCCUCCAAGAUAAAGGGCUCUGUGGAGUGGAGCAAGCCCCGGCUGCUUCGGCGGAUCGCAGAGCUGGAGAAAAAAAUAAGUUUGAUGGAAAGCCCCAAAUCCCACGCUUCAGAGGUGGUCGGGUCUACCCCGCCGGCUCACUCGGCGUCCAGCCCCACGGUGCACCGGCAGCCGCGCCCCGACCGCCAGGAGGAGAGCGAGCGACUGCGGGGGGUUGUGAAGAGGCUGAAGGGCGAGCAGAGUGCCCUGUACACCCAGCUGCAGGAGCGAGAUCUGGAGGUGAAGCAGCUACUGCAGACAAAGGCUGACUUGGAGAAGGAGCUGGAAAACAUGAAGGAGGGUGAGAAGGAGGGAAGAGAAAGAGAAGAGGCUUUGAGGGAGGAAAUUCAGGCACUUAUCAGGAAGUUUCAAGAACUGGAAGAAAGCAAGAAAGGAGAGGAGGAGAAUCCCGAGGAAAUGAGUCCUGAGACCCGGGAAGCGCCCCGACCCCCCGGUCCCUCCCAGAUGGACUCGGAGCUGGACACGAGCGAGGGGGGCUCCUCCCGGCCCCGCUCCGGCUGCUCCGAGGGGAGAAGAGACGCCGCCGCCCGGCUCCUGCAGCGCCGGUGGAAGGGGCACCAGCACCGGGUGAGAAAAAAAAAGGCCGUUCUGGACGAGGCUGCCAUGCUGCAGGCGGCUUUCCGGGCGCAUCUGGCACGGGCGAGGCCACUGUCUAGCGUAGUGUGCGGCCCGGACCCCCCUGCCGUGCCAAGCCCUCCCACCCAAGACUCGCCCGAGCCCCGCGUCCCGAGCCCCGUCAUCCAGGCCGAGGGGGACCCGUGGCAAGAGGAGGCCGUCACCAUCAUCCAGUCUGCCUUCCGGGCACACCUGGCACGGGCCAGGCACAGUGCUGCUGGUCCAAGAGCUGCCACUGCAGCGCUUCCCGACAGACCUGCGUGGGCCCCACAGAGUGCACCCCGCUCUCCGCCCUUCCCUGCAGCCUCUCCUGAUCCAGUAACAGUCAGUGGAGAAAUCCCUGGACUGGCCCGGGCGCACAGCCCAUGGUGAGGCCCGGUCCCAGCUCUGCCCCACGCCGGACACGGGGUCCUCCCGGGCCUCACUCCUCCUGUGCGAGAGCCGGAGGGUCGGGCGAGGCCACUUGCAAGUCGCUUUCAGUCCCCAAACGUACGCUUCUGCCUGUACUUGAGGCCCUCCCUCCCUCAGACUGUAACCGGCACACUUGCUUGGACCGUCUGUACACCAGAGGUGGCACAGAGGUGGCGGCGUGAGGUCGGAGGCUGUCACUAGACAAAGCGUGGUCUUGAGUCUCAUUUGCGAGUGUGGCGCGCAGGCUGAAUUCUGAGGUCGCAGAGAUGCAGUCGGAGAAGGGCAGGCGCGGGAAGGGCGUGGUGCUUCAUAUCGAGGGAGAACUGCAAAAGGAGCAGUAUUUCUGAACAGAAGUGCGAGCCUAGGAAGACGGGUGGGUGCCACGAGCCUGUGAGGAUGGGAGCCUCCCGUGUGCCUGUCGUUUCAGGGCAGGAAGACAGCGAGGGGAGCAGCGGGGAGACCGCGGAGGCUCCGGCUCCCGGGGACGGAGCGCCGAGGCCAUGGGGGCCAGGGCCGCCGGCAGCCCCGCGGCCCUGCUCUGCGGAGCCCUCUCCCUCGGG